rnacentral:rRNA from 1 species
AUUGAACGCUGGCGGUAUGCUUAACACAUGCAAGUCGAACGGUAACAGCAUCUAGCUUGCUAGAUGGCUGACGAGUGGCGGACGGGUGAGUAACGCGUAGGGAUCUGUCUAGAAGAUUGGGACAACACGGGGAAACUCGUGCUAAUACCGAAUACGCUCUACGGAGGAAAGGCGGGAUUUAUCCUGUCGCUUUGGUGAACCUGCGUUGGAUUAGCUUGUUGGUGGGGUAAGUGGCCUACCAAGGCAUCGAUCCAUAGCUGUUCUGAGAGGAAGAUCAGCCACACUGGGACUGAGACACGGCCCAGACUCCUACGGGAGGCAGCAGUGGGGGAAUAUUGGACGAAUGGGCGGCAAGACCUGAUCCAGCAAUAACCGCGUGUGUGAAGAAGGACC